UUCCACAACUCCCACGACCCUGUGUCACGACUGACGAUCGAUGCCGGAGGGAGGAUCCAUGGGGACCGCGCCUAGGUUCAGGGCGGGUCUGCCUCACAUGGGGCCGAGGCGCCCGACGAGGUUGUCUUCUGGCGAUUCCACGAUGUCGUGCCCGAGCCAGCGGAUCAUCCGCUGUCGAUUUGACUCUGUCGAUUCAGUAAUUGAAUCACGAUUACAAGAGGCCAUUAAUGGCCAUGGAUAUGAGAGGCCGGUGGAUAAUUGCAGGUUCUCUGAUCUCGAUCGAUUGGAUCUCGGUUUCACGGUUGGCUGAUUCUGCUGCAUUGAAAGGCGAGGCACUGCUUUCACCAUAAUGAUUUCUUGCAUGAGAAUAAUACAUGCUUAAACGCAGCAUCUUCCAAUUGUUCAAAGUGCUAAUAGUUACAACCUGAGGUUACUUGCUCGGGUCCUUCUUUCACAAAAUACAGAGAUGACUUCAGAGUAACCAUGUUCUUUUCAGCUUUUCUAUUCUACAUAAACAACUUGAGGACGGUAUGGAUCAGGGUCUUCUGUUUGAAGCUUUUCUGUUCUAAAUAAACGACAUGAGGACGGUGAGGAUCAAUUCAUAUUUGUCCUGCUUUUGAAGUCCCUCUGUAUUGGGGAAUGCCUUGCUUUCUAGGAAUGCAAAGGUGAAGGUAGACCACUUGUAUUAAGCAAUCACAACAGUAUACAAUCAACAGGAUUCAACUCAACGACACCUGGGGGAUCAGAGCACAAUCAACUUAUAUUUCUACUUUCUAAGCAAGCAGAGUUUGCCAGAAAGUUGCUAACUUUAUUUUGGGAGUGCCUAACAUGAGUAAUACUAAUUAUACGAAGACUCAAGAGGUGCUUUAUUUCUUUCACCAAAAAGGAAUACAUCGAUCUAUCCAUGUCGCUGGUUUGAAUCAUAUUUGUAACUUAAGAGAGACCACUUCAAUCACCACGGGAAGGUCACUCCUCUGAAGGCCAAUGAUAAGCCCUGGCUACAAGCACAUAAGUCUGAUUCUAAAUCAUCCUGGUAGGAGAAAAGUUCUAUGCAAGAAGGAAAAAAAUAGGUCCGUUGUCAUCUCAUAACACCAUGCCAGCUCCAGCUCUUCCAUCUGAAGAUAGCGAUCCAUCAGAAUUAAUUUUCACCCAACCCGAAGGGGGGUAGAUCGACAACCAGCCUAACUCUAUAAAAAGUAGGAUAUGUUAUGAUUGUCCGACAGUUGUGUUGUAUAUUGGGAUUAAUUGAAUGUGCUUUGCUUUAUGCUAUUAAUUAGGAUGUAAGUCAUACCAUGUGGCAUCCUGCUAAGAGCAAGGCAUUUUAAUUCAACUGUUCAUUUAUACAGUUUAAAUAUGUCUACCUUUUGUUUU